rnacentral:tRNA from 1 species
GUCCAAGUGGCUCAGUGGAUAAGAACACUGACUGGAACUCCUGAGGUCAUAGGUUCAAGUCCUACCUUGCCCA